rnacentral:rRNA from 1 species
GACGAACGCUGGCGGCGUGCUUAACACAUGCAAGUCGAACGGAAAGGCCCUGCUUUUGUGGGGUGCUCGAGUGGCGAACGGGUGAGUAACACGUGAGUAACCUGCCCUUGACUUUGGGAUAACUUCAGGAAACUGGGGCUAAUACCGGAUAGGAGCUCCUGCUGCAUGGUGGGGGUUGGAAAGUUUCGGCGGUUGGGGAUGGACUCGCGGCUUAUCAGCUUGUUGGUGGGGUAGUGGCUUACCAAGGCUUUGACGGGUAGCCGGCCUGCGGGGGUGACCGGCCACAUUGGGACUGCGAUACGGCCCAGACUCCUACGGGAGGCAGCAGUGGGGAAUAUUGCACAAUGGGCGGAAGCCGGAUGCAGCAACGCCGCGUGCGGGAUGACGGCCUUCGGGUUGUAAACCGCUUUCGCCUGUGACGAAGCGUGAGUGACGGUAAUGGGUAAAGAAGCACCGGCUAACUACGUG